GGCCUGGUGGUCUAGUAGUAUGAUUCCUUCUUAGGGUAUGCCGGGGCGUUGAACCCUGGCUGGGCCAUGGAGGAGGUCCCGGGUUCAAUUCCCGGCCAGGCCC